AGAGUUCGAUCCUGGCUCAGGAUGAACGCUGGCGGCGCGCCUAACACAUGCAAGUCGAACGAUUAAAGCACCUUCGGGUGUGUAUAAAGUGGCGAACGGCUGAGUAACACGUGGGCAACCUGCCCCUUUCAUUGGGAUAGCCACGGGAAACCGUGGAUAAUACCGAAUACUUCGAGACUUCCGCAUGGAAGACUCGAGAAAGCUCCGGCGGAGAGGGAUGGGCCCGCGGCCUGUUAGCUUGUUGGUGGGGUAACGGCCUACCAAGGCAAUGAUGGGUAGCUGGGUUGAGAGACCGACCAGCCAGAUUGGGACUGAGACACGGCCCAGACUCCUACGGGAGGCAGCAGUGGGGAAUCUUGCACAAUGGGCGAAAGCCUGAUGCAGCGACGCCGCGUGCGGGAUGAAGGCCUUCGGGUUGUAAACCGCUUUCAGCAGGGACGAGGCGAAAGUGACGGUACCUGCAGAAGAAGCCCCGGCUAACUACGUGCCAGCAGCCGCGGUAAUACGUAGGGGGCAAGCGUUAUCCGGAUUCAUUGGGCGUAAAGCGCUCGUAGGCGGUCUGUUAGGUCGGGAGUUAAAUCCGGGGGCUCAACCCCCGCUCGCUCUCGAUACCGGCGGGCUUGAGUCUGGCAGGGGAAGGCGGAAUUCCUAGUGUAGCGGUGGAAUGCGCAGAUAUUAGGAAGAACACCAGUGGCGAAGGCGGCCUUCUGGGCCAUAACUGACGCUGAGGAGCGAAAGCUAGGGGAGCAAACAGGAUUAGAUACCCUGGUAGUCCUAGCCGUAAACGAUGGACACUAGGUGUGGGGGAGUAUUUCUUCCGUGCCGCAGCUAACGCAUUAAGUGUCCCGCCUGGGGAGUACGGCCGCAA
rnacentral:rRNA from 1 species